rnacentral:misc_RNA from 1 species
GAUGAAGAACGUAGCGAAAUGCGAUAAGUAGUGUGAAUUGCAGAAUUCAGUGAAUCAUCGAAUCUUUGAACGCACAUUGCGCCCCUUGGUAUCCCGAGGGGCAUGCCUGUUCGAGCGUCAUUUCACCACUCAAGCCUGGCUUGGUGUUGGGCGACGUCCUCUUUGGGGACGCGCCUCGAAACGCUCGGCGGCGUGGCACCGGCUUUAAGCGUAGCAGAAUCUUUCGCUUUGGAAGUCGGGGCCCCGUCUGCCGGAAGACCUGCUCGCAAGGUUGACCUCGGCUCAGGCAGGGAUACCCGCUGAACUUAAGCAUAUCAAUAAGCGGAGGA